rnacentral:rRNA from 1 species
GGGAAGAGCUCAAAUUUUGAAUCUGGCGUUCUUUUGAUCGUCCCGAGUUGUAAUCUAGAGAAGCGUCUUCUGUGCUGGACCGUGUACAAGUCUCCUGGAAGGGAGCGUCAUAGAGGGUGAGAAUCCCGUCUUUGACACGGACCACCAGUGCUAUGUGAUGCGCUCUCAACGAGUCGAGUUGUUUGGGAAUGCAGCUCAAAACGGGUGGUAAAUUCCAUCUAAAGCUAAAUACAGGCGAGAGACCGAUAGCGAACAAGUACCGUGAGGGAAAGAUGAAAAGAACUUUGAAAAGAGAGUUAAACAGUACGUGAAAUUGCUGAAAGGGAAAUGCUUGAUGUCAGUCGCGUCGGCCGGGGAUCAACCUUGCUUUCUUUGCUGGGUGUACUUCCCUGUCGACGGGUCAGCAUCAGUUUUGAUCGCUGUACAAGGGCGAGGGGAACGUGGCACUCUCUUUGCGGGGUGUGUUAUAGCCUUUCGUCAUAUGCGGUGGUUGGGACUGAGGAACUCAGCACGGGCGACCGUGCUUAGGAUGCUGGCAUAAUGGCCUUAAGCGACCCGUCUUGAAACACGGACCAAGGAGUCUAACAUGCCUGCGAGUGUUUGGGUGGAAAACCCGAGCGCGCAAUGAAAGUGAACGUCGAGACCUCUGUCGUGGAGGGCACCGACGCCCGGACCGGAGUCUUUGACGACGGAUCUGCGGUAGAGCAUGCAUGUUGGGACCCGAAAGAUGGUGAACUAUGCCUGAAUAGGGUGAAGCCAGAGGAAACUCUGGUGGAGGCUCGUAGCGAUUCUGACGUGCAAAUCGAUCGUCGAAUUUGGGUAUAGGGCGAAAGACUU